CAUUUUGCAAGGUAUGCACUUGUGACAGUCUGGCUCGCAGUGGUGAGGUGGAUGACGUCACGGACCAGGAAGUAACUGACACCAAAACAGUGGAUGGGCGGGUGAAGCUGAAUGCUAGUGCACUCAGCGUAUUUAAUAAACAAACAAAUGAUUUUAACGAAACACAAAACAAAAGGGCACGAGGGCCAAACGAAUAAACAAACAAACAAGCAGGUCCAGGCCUCACUGCUGCAACUCCCCACGAAAGCUCAGGAGGACUAAAGGUCAGGGGACAUCCUCCAAUCCUUCCUACAUCUCUAGAGAAGCACUACAGUGGAUAUCAGUAAGCGACCAGCCCCUGGAGGACAAAUGUACAAACAUGGAGGAGCAAGAGGACGGGAGGCUGUAGCCACAGAGCCAACACGGACCCCAGAGCACGCCCUCACCACAGAGCACAACACAGCACAGCGCACGCACCACGAUCCCCGAAGGAGAAAAGCACAGUUUCGUGCACGGAGGAUUGUGGUUUAAGGAGUGUCUUUUGUUUACCUCGUUGCUGUUUUACCCCAAUAUCAUCGCUGAUAGUGGGGUAUAUUAUUAUUUUUCAUUUGGAUUAUUUUGGUGAUAUUUGUGUUAACCAUUAAAAGGAUUAUUCUUUGGGAGACAACAGUCUGGACAUGCCACAUCUUUUGCACCGCACCAUUCAUCACUAAUUUCGGAAACAUUUCAAUUCUGAGAAGACUUUGUUUUUAUUAAUGUGACUAAAUUAGAGACAAGCAAAUAAACAGAUAUGUUGAAAACUGAUUUUAAAGCACUGGUUUCUAUUGUAUAAAUGGUUCCUACUUAUUGUACUGUUUACUAUUUUAUUCCUCAUCUGACGUCUAUAAGCAAUCUGUGUUCAGACUUUACCAUAGUAAAAGCACAGUGAAAGUAAAGGUAAGCACUGUAAAGACCAGAGUGGUAUGGUAAAGCAAAUGCAAAAAUUCAUGGCAAACUAUGGCAAAUAUACAGUAGAACCAUGUGCAAACACUGUGCAAAUUUACUGUGGUAAACUUGUAUGAGGGCAAAGCCAAAAAAAUAUUACCAUGUAUAAUUAAAUGUAUCUCAAAAGAAACAAAAUAUGUGAUAAAUGAAAUAAAAGAAAUCAGAAAUGUGGCAUUCUUUCUUUUCCUGUUUGUAAAUCACCAUUUUGUACAAGUCAUGUUCUUUGAGGCUGUCAUGUUGAGGUAAAGCUUACUCGUUUUAGUAGCAUUUUCCCUUUAACUUUCAUUACUCCACGGUACAACCAUUAAUGGCAAAUUAGUCAUGGUACGUGCCUACAAACCUAACCCUGACAGUUUCAAUGUAAUGUGUUUCAUUUAAAUAUGUGUUGAUUUUUCAGCUGUUAAUGAAUGAGGUUUACAGUUUUCAAAACAUUUCAGAUCUGCACAGGGAAUGGAAGAGCACAACUGCAAUAUUUACAAAGAAAGCGUGCCACUGAGUCUCAACCUGCUCACCACACCGAUGCUCUUUUAUCAGUUCUUGAGACACUCUGGGACACCUCUACUUUAUAUUUUUAACCCCAGCAAAAGCUUUUGGCAGCAUGAGUAGAUUUAGCUUCCUCUUAUAAAUACACUGAUGUGCAUUUUGAUUCUCAGCAUUUCUGUAUUUCUGUUUGGAAGUAAAAACCUCUGGUUACGUAAAGGCUGCCUAGAGAUGGAAUUUCCCACGUUACCCUUGAAAUAAAACCAAU